GCGGCCUAUCAGCUUGUUGGUGAGGUAAUGGCUCACCAAGGCGACGACGGGUAGCCGGCCUGAGAGGGCGACCGGCCACACUGGGACUGAGACACGGCCCAGACUCCUACGGGAGGCAGCAGUGGGGAAUAUUGGGCAAUGGAGGAAACUCUGACCCAGCGACGCCGCGUGCGGGAUGAAGGCCUUCGGGUUGUAAACCGCUUUCAGCAGGGAAGAAGCGAAAGUGACGGUACCUGCAGAAGAAGCACCGGCUAACUAUGUGCCAGCAGCCGCGGUAAUACAUAGGGUGCAAGCGUUGUCCGGAAUUAUUGGGCGUAAAGAGCUCGUAGGUGGUUCGUCACGUCGGAUGUGAAACUCUGGGGCUUAACCCCAGACCUGCAUUCGAUACGGGCGAGCUUGAGUAUGGUAGGGGAGACUGGAAUUCCU
rnacentral:rRNA from 1 species